rnacentral:rRNA from 1 species
GACGAACGCUGGCGGCGUGCUUAACACAUGCAAGUCGAACGAAGAGCGAUGGACGCUUGCUUCUAUCACUCUUAGUGGCGGACGGGUGAGUAACGCGUAGUCAACCUGCCCUUCAGAGGGGGAUAACAGUUGGAAACGACUGCUAAUACCGCAUACGACCUAUUCUUGGCAUCGGGGAUAGAUGUAAGGCGGCCGCUACAUGUAACCUAUCACUUCAGGAGGGGAGUGCGUCUGAUUAGCUAGUUGGAGGGGUAACGGCCCACCAAGGCGAGGGUCAGUAGCCGGUCUGAGAGGAUGAACGGCCACAUUGGGACUGAGACACGGCCCAGACUCCUACGGGAGGCAGCAGGGGGGAAUCUUCCGCAAUGGACGAAAGUCUGACGGAGCAACGCCGCGUGAGGGAUGACGGCCGUCGGGUUGUAAAGCUCUGUUAAUCGGGACGAAAGGCCUUCUUGCGAAUAGUGAGAAGGAUUGACGGUACCGGAAUAGAAAGCCACGGCUAACUACGUG